AAGUUAAAGAAAGUCAAAUACGUAUUUUUUAAAACAGCCGAACAUGCACGAAACUACACGAAGGUCAAACCCGAUGAUGAUGCGCGCUGCAAUCAAACACCCGCAAAGUUCCUCCCCCGGACUUGCACACUGAUAAGAGUCGGGCCCGUGAACAAAAUUGUGACCCGAGGCUGCAGGAGGAGCUCCAGCUGCCUCCUCUGCCGGUCGAUCUCCCGUCUGAAGCCCGUCGCCUCCUCCUCGUAGCCGGCCACGGUUCUCUCGACCACCGCUAAGAUUUCCUGCGCGGCUGUGGUCAGCUUCUCGGUGACGAUUCCUCUCAGUAUCUCAGAUUUAGACAUGUUGAGACUGUCGAGUGUCUCCGAGCCGCCGCUGUUCCUCUUCAUCCAGUAAAACAUCUUUCACUCGUCUCCAAAGAUCCCUUUACUUCCUGUCCUUGUGUGGUUUCCCGGCAUUUUCAGCGUCUGCCCCGCCCCUGAUUAUUUCCACCUGUGCCCAAUCACCUCAUGUAUCCUAGUCAUGUCUCCACUUGAUUUGUGACAGUUUGUUUUGUCAUGUCCCAGUGUAUUGAACCGGCGCGUCAGCAGUAUUUUUGGAAUUUUUUGUAUAUCCGCCUUGUGAGCGUUUUGAGUUUAUGCU